rnacentral:rRNA from 1 species
UACGUAGGGUGCAAGCGUUGUCCGGAAUUAUUGGGCGUAAAGAGCUCGUAGGCGGUCUGUCGCGUCGGCUGUGAAAACUCGGGGCUCAACCCCGAGCCUGCAGUCGAUACGGGCAGACUAGAGUGCGGUAGGGGAGACUGGAAUUCCUGGUGUAGCGGUGAAGUGCGCAGAUAUCAGGAGGAACACCGGUGGCGAAGGCGGGUCUCUGGGCCGUAACUGACGCUGAGGAGCGAAAGCGUGGGGAGCAAACAGG